GCUGAAACUGACUCCGUGUUCAGGUCGUACAGGUAACAGUCUUUGCUCCCUGCGCCUGUGUUCCUUCAUGGACAUUACCGAUAUGCUUUUAUCGGGUUUGGUUUUGAAUAUGAUUCCGAAUAGUCUCAUGGUUAUUAUACGAUUCUUAAUUAAAAAGGUUACAAUUAUAUAGGAAUGAUUUCAAUUCUAUAACAAUAAUUAUAAUCACUAUUGGGU
rnacentral:rRNA from 1 species